AGUGGCUCAUGUCUAUGAAUGACUCAACUUAUGUUUAUGAAUGCUGUGCAGAGGAAAUUAAAAUUGCCAUACAGUUUUCAACAGUGGUUGUACCAUUCUGCAUUCCCACCAAUAGUGUACAAGGGUCUCAAUUAUUCCAUGUCAUUGCCAGCUAUGUAAAGAACUACAGCCUCAAGAACUUGAAGUGGACCCAGCAUAGUAGCUCACACCUGUAAUCCCAGCACUCUAGGAGGCUGAGGUGGGAGGAUCACUUGAACCCAGUUCAA